UACGUAGGGAGCAAGCGUUGUCCGGAAUCAUUGGGCGUAAAGCGCGCGCAGGCGGUCCCUUAAGUCUGAUGUGAAAGCCCACGGCUCAACCGUGGAGGGUCAUUGGAAACUGGGGGACUUGAGUACAGAAGAGGAAAGUGGAAUUCCACGUGUAGCGGUGAAAUGCGUAGAGAUGUGGAGGAACACCAGUGGCGAAGGCGACUUUCUGGUCUGUAACUGACGCUGAGGCGCGAAAGCGUGGGGAGCAAACAGG
rnacentral:rRNA from 1 species